rnacentral:lncRNA from 12 species
AAAAACAACCAAACAACCAAACCAUGAGUGAUUGAUGUUAAUUAUUUUCAUUUCAGAUCUCCUUUUGGCAGCUGGAUGAGAAGGGGAUGCCAUGGCCAAGGAGGGAUUGCCAGGGAGGGAUUUCCAAGGUUCAAGUUGUAUUCCAAGGGAACACGAGUCCUGUGUCACCUCUACACCAGAACCGUGUUUGAGGGAAACCAAGAACUGAGCAGAUCCUUUUAAAUUUCCACUCAUUUUCAGGGUGAGUGAAUCCUCUUGUCUCCACUCCUGCUGUCGUGUCCUGUGCAGCUCCAAAGUGUGACUUGAGGUUCAGAGGAAAAUCUCUCUUUUCCUAAUCUUUGCACUGAUAACACAGAGCUUAAUUUAGCAGCAGUCAGGCAGAACAUUUGGAUUUUGUCAUCCAUUUCCAAAACUAUUGUUGGCUUCUUAUUCCUUUGUUUCCACACACCACCACCCCCAACUCGUUUCAGAUUUACAUUUUCUUGGAGGUGCCAAAAGAUAAGUUAAUGCCAACUUGAUGAUUAAUUAGCUAAUACUUUCCUCUGCCCUGAGAUGGAAAGCCUUUAUCUGAGCCACCUAUUAAUUAUUAUUUUAUUUAUUGCUGCAUGGGUACAUUCGAAGGGAUUCGAGUUCUGCCCUCCUGAGAAAUUUGGGCAGAAAUUUAUAGGAACAGGAUGAAAGAAAGCCAAAGGAACCUUCAACUUGUUAUCAGAAAAUGUGUCCUAAUGCUGAGAUCAGGGAACUUUUUAAUCUAUAUUUUGCAA